rnacentral:tRNA from 1 species
UGGGGUGUGGCUCAGUGGUAGAACACUUACCUAGUGUGUAAGGCCCUGGGUUCAAUUCCCAGCACUGGUA